rnacentral:rRNA from 1 species
UACGUAGGGACCAAGCGUUGUUCGGAUUUACUGGGCGUAAAGGGCGCGUAGGCGGCAAUUCAAGUCAGCUGUGAAAUCUCUGGGCUUAACCCAGAACGGCCAGCUGAUACUGCUUUGCUAGAGUGCAGAAGGGGCAAUCGGAAUUCUUGGUGUAGCGGUGAAAUGCGUAGAUAUCAAGAGGAACACCUGAGGUGAAGACGGGUUGCUGGGCUGAUACUGACGCUGAUGCGCGAAAGCCAGGGGAGCAAACGGG